UGAUGAGGCGUUUGAGCAUUUUGGCUCCUUUGUUUCAAGGAAAAUUGAUGAGGCUACUAAAAUAGGCAAAAUAAAUCUUGCUGCUACUGGAAAGGACCUUAUGGACGACGA